rnacentral:SRP_RNA from 1 species
CGUGGAGCGUUAUUGGACGAGAGAAUUGUAAACCCGGUCAGGUCUGGAAGGAAGCAGCCGUAGCAGUUAUACUUGGGUCGGUAACGUUCCUUGCCU